rnacentral:lncRNA from 1 species
AUGACACAAGUUGGAGGAAGCUUGGGGAUUGUGCCAGUGGACACAGACACUAACCUUGUCAAAGCAGAAAGAGACGACAUACUUAUGGACUUCUCCAAAGGCAGCAGCCAUCAAUCAUCUCUCCUAAAAGUGCAGAUGAACAGAGGACUCAUUCUGAGUCAUGUAAUGAGGCAACAGAUGAAGAACAUUCCAAGAUAACCCAUAGCCCCUCAAUGACUGCUGCAGCAUCCAAGCAGACGAACAGAUAGAUCCUGGUCCUAAGUGAGCUGUUUUGCUUGUCUGAGACCCUCCAGCCUACAGGACAGAUACCCACUGUAUUGCCUUUACUGUGUCAGCCUGGGCACUAACCUCCUUUAAAACAUCGCCUCUAUGGAAAAAAUGUGUUUCAAAUCGUAAACAACUCACAUGCAAAUAAACGUUUUGGAAUCCAACCUGUUUGUAGGUUG